ACUUACAUGCUUCCUUUCCCUCCAAACAGGAGCACUUUGUAUGAGUUGGAGGCAAAUUCCUCAAGUCUACAAUACUUAUACUUCAUUAAUCUGUACUAUUGACUGGCUUUCCACAACUACAAGUUUGCACAAAGAUCCUGGAUCACUCUCUGGAUUGACUAAACAAGUCAGAACACUGCAGGAAACUGAGGACCCUGAGCUGCACUUGGCAGCUCCAAAACAAUGGCAGAGUGCACGCAGGACGCCGACCCCGCCAAGGUGAUCCACAAUCCAAAAGCUGACAUCAAGGACUCGAGAGAAGUUUCAGCAUCGGUGACAGCGGUGGUCAAAGUCAGACCCGCAGACCUGGGGCUGAUUCGAAGCCUGUCCAAGUCAGAUUCUGACUUGUUGGCGUCGCCACUCGGAGAGGAGGACGGAGGUCUGGCCGGCCGCAGAGGGUCCGUGUCUAACUGCAGCUCUGGGCAGCCGUCCACGGAGCGCAUGGCUUCCUUUGCCUCUGAGUGGGAUGAGAUCGAGAAGAUCAUGAACUUGAUUGGAGCAGGCAUUGAAACGUCCAAGAAGAAACAGCCCACCCCUCCAAGCUCAGAUGGGGCCUGUGGUAAAGCCCUGGACCAGCCGGUCGGAGAGUGGCUGGAGCACGUGGGGCUGCCGCAGUACGAGAGCAAGUUCCUGCUCAAUGGCUUCGACGACCUACGAUUCAUGGGAAGUAACGUGAUGGAGGACCAGGAUCUCAGAGACAUCGGGAUCACUGACCCAGGACACAGAAAGAAAAUCCUCCAUGCGGCACGCAGCUUGCCCAAGGUAAAAGCACUGGGCUGUGAUGGCAGCACAUCUCUUGUCUCCUGGCUGGACGGCCUUGGCCUGCAUGAGUAUCUGCCCAACUUUCUUUCAAGUGGCUACCGCACACUGGAGUGUGUUAAGAACCUGUGGGAGUUGGAGAUUGUCAAUGUUAUUAAGAUCGGUGCCCUGGGCCACAGGAAGAGGAUCAUUGCCUCUAUAGCAGAGAGACCCUAUGAAGAGGCUCCAUCGAAGUCCCGUCGUCUGUCUCCAAUUAUGUUCCAUGACCUCCUGUCCCAGACCACAUCUCCUCUCAGCCAGAUGGACCCUUACACCAGUCGCUCCAUGGACAUGCUGCUGCCCUUGACUGAGUCGGACCGGAGGCGGCGAGGAGUCGAACAAGACUGUAGUGUUUCUCUGCGCUCAUAUAGCGAGAGGCCGCGAUCUGUAGACAGACAGAGUGAACGACAGAAAGACUCUCGUUUGAACCUCCGGCCGCCGAGCCAGUCUGCUACCUACGCCACGGUGUCCGCCUGGCAUCACCAGCCUGAGAAGCUCAUCCUGGACUCCUGCGGGUACGAGGCAACCUACCUAGGAUCAAUGAUAAUCAGGGAUCUACGAGGGAUCGAGUCCACACAAGAGGCCUGUGCUAAAAUUAGGAAAUCAAAGGAUUCCAGAAAGGGUCCAGUUGUCAUACUGUCCAUUACCUAUAGAGGGGUCAAGUUCAUCGAUGCAGCCACGAAGACUAUAGUUGCGGAGCAUGAGAUCAGGAACAUCUCGUGCGCCGCCCAAGACCCAGAUGACCUCUGCACUUUUGCUUACAUUACCAAGGAUCUAAAGAGUGGCCACCACUUCUGUCAUGUCUUCAGCACUGUGGAAGUGACACAGACCUACGAGAUCAUCCUAACACUGGGACAGGCGUUUGAGGUGGCCUAUCAGAUGGCAAUGCAAGCCAGGGCGAGACACUACGCCCAACCUACGUCUCUGACCUCAGAGGUCGUAGAGACCAAAGCCAGCCGUCCUGUAUCUCAGUCGUGGAACAGCAUGCGGAGAUCAGCAGUCCUCCUGCCUCCCAGGGUGCCCCUCAGCUCGAAUGCCGCUGCUGUCACUGUCACACGUGUACUACCCACCGUCCUUCCUUCCUCCCGUUGCACUCUGUUAGCCCUGGAGUCCAGAUCGACCCCCUGGAGAUGGACGCCGAUAUGCACUCCCUGGGCAGCACCACCUGGCUCUUGGAUCAGCGGGACACCCACAGGCGCCCCGUCAGCACCAAGUACGAGACCACCAUAUUCUGAGGCCGGAUCCCCACAGCCGCUCCUCUGCACCCCCUCGUACUUUCCUCUCCCCUCUGCAUCCGGUUCUUUAUUUCUCUCUCUCACACACGCACACCUUUACUCAUGCGAGCCCCGUGCCUUCUCACUGUGAUGGUAUAGCAUCCCUCAGGGCAGCUUACUCCUGCACCCUCCUUUGCCCUGCCCAGCGACCCACACCAACCUCUUUUACCCGCCAUGACAAACACUCCCGCGGCUCUCUCUCCCGUGCCUCCCCGACACCCCCCGGCAGCCUCCCUCGCCUGUUGCUGCUGCAGCCAAUGGCGGAGCCCUGGAACGGAUGAUCCUGGACUGAUCUCAUUUUUACAGUGGCCCUGCUCUCUCAACCAAACUGCCUCUUCCUCCUCAUCCUCCUCCUCCUCAACUUGCAUCUGCCUCCAAAUCCCCGAUAGCUCCCAGAGCCUGUCCUGUCUUACCAGGCAUCUACCACUGUGAGGCACUAUGAGGAGGCUGCUUUGCUAGCAUGGGAUGCAAGACGGACAAUUAAAUCAAUGAAAGACAAAACAGCGACAUGCAGCAAAGAACCUGUUUUCUUUUCUACGCAUUUGUACAAUACUCAUAACAACACGAUGGAUUGGUCGUGAAUCGAUCACUGAUGUCUGAACUCAAACGGACCAAGAACUGAACCUUCGUACACACACACACACACACACACACACACACACACACACACAGGAGGACAACUUUCCUACACUUUACCGAGGACAACAGCCUUACGUCAUUUCGGUUAUCUAUAAUCAACUGAAGCCCCCACCUUCCCCCGACCACCACCACCCAACAACUGCACGCCUCCCCCUUGCUUCUAAAAGACUUUUAAAAAAAAAGACAACACUUCUGAUUUCCUGGUGUGAAACUGACUGUGACUGGCUGGGAUGAUGUUGUUCUCAUGAUGGUACAGUUUUGUCCAGAUGAGAGUCUUUGCUCUGGCCUUUGUACCGCCCUGUCUGCAGUCUCUCAGCAUUCAUGGUAGCAUCGAGAGACUGCAAAUCACAGCAUCUUCUUCUUGUCAAUUUAAAAAAAAAGAAAAUAACACUGUGUUAAAAACGUGGCACUAUCCCUUUUAAUACCUUAUUUUCUUUUCUUACGGUGCAAAUAGGACAUUAGUGCAUUUUGUGAUACUUUUUGAUAGACGGGGGCUGAGUGAAAUACUUUGGGAAAGAGCGAUUAAGACGGGAUCUAGAAGGAUCCCAACAAACCCAAGACAAAGAGAAUACCACCAAACUGAAUUACACAAGCAUAGUGAGUGUACUGACAUUGGAUCCACAACACGAUUUCAUUUGACUCGUAUAUUAAUGAGCCUGGAGCACAAUUUGGUGCACAUUUUUCCCAACAUAGCAUCUUAUUAUCAUGAUUACAUGGGUAGGUAUCCAUGCUGCUUCACACCAAUUUAGAAUUAGGUACAGUACAUGCAAAGUAUGUCACUUGAAAAUAAACGGCAGUGAAAAGAUUUAAUUCCACUACAUUAAAAGAGCCAAAUCUAAGUGUUGCUCUGAUGUCGUGUUAAUGCGAAUGGAUUUGCUAUGCUGAGAACAUGAGUUUAUUUAUUUAUUUUUUUAAAGAAUUUCCUUGCUGCACUGUGACUCAAAAAUGCUCGUUGUGGAGUCGACACAUAUCUGUGGGUCCUCCCCUGUGUGCACUACCUACUGUGCGUGCUGUAUGCCUUGUUUCUGUCUGUCCUCAUGGGAGUUUGGACCGUUGCUGUUACAUCACUGUCCACCGUCCUUGUUUUCUGUGUGCUGCAGCAGGAGAUGUGAGGUAUUGAGCUCCUCUCCAGCAGAUAGUGUGUCUGGAGACUGACUUGUGUGCGGUACCGUGGCUGUGUCAUUGCCACUCUGUUCUGACUGUUAGCUUCCACUGACGAUGCAUGUUGGCAGUGUUUUUUGUGUUUUUUGUACCCUUUGAUGCACUUGGCCUGAGCAGUCGCUGUAUGUACUGUAGCAGUGUCUUCGUCUCUUCUCACUCAUCCGCCAUUCGCUUUUUAUGUUCCCUCCUCUCUUCGUCACACGCCAUCACAGCGAUCCAUCCUCGUCCCUCCACGUCUCCAUUGUUGUCAUUCCUCCCAGCAUUUUUGUCACGUAUGUUCUUCCAUUUUGUGUGUCACCAAGACAACCUGCUCCAGUAUGGAUGCAUAAUAUAAAAGCAUUACACUUUAAUGAGCAGCAGCUAUUUAAAGCAAGUUUUGGUGGCAUGAUUUGGCUGUGCAUGUACCAGUCUUUUUUAACAUUUUGGUGUUUUCCUUGUGUAGCUCACCCCAACGUUCAAGUUUCCGGAUACCAAGCUGUGAGUUGAAGGGGAGCAGCCCGAUGCGAGUGUGUGUGUGUUGAGUUUAGUGGGCAGAGCAGUGGAAAAAAAGGUAGAGGGAGAGAAAACGAGAGGUAAGCCUUAUGCAACGCAGGGCCAACCAGCGCUACUACUCUGACAUUUAGAUCUCACUCUGUAUAUCCCCCUGCUCCUCCACUGCCCCCUGAUAUGAAACCCCAACACACAGACGAAAAGGUAACCUGUUGUCCCACAUCAAUGGCUAAACGGGACCUGUGUAUCACUCCUGUCUUGAGAGAGAGAGGUCAGUCAGAAAAGGGUCAGGGCUAUUUCCUGGCCUCCAUGUGACUUUCUGAUCUUGUCCUGUAGGUACUGUAAUGUUUAGAGCACGGUAGACCAUUAAUGAUAUAUAGACCAUUAAUGAGCAUUUCUAUUGAUCCAGGUCUAUUGGACUGAGAUAGUAACUGUGGGAGUUAUUAAGGGUAAAACAGAAAUGUAACAAAGUGUAGAGAAAAAAAAACUGUACCAGCAUACAAUGCUUUGCCCAUGUUUGUGGACAGAGUAUGGUUUGUCAAUGAAAAUGUGAUACUGUUUCAAAUUUCAAAGCAAUAUUAUAUUAAUGAAAAAUUAAAUAAUACAAUGACAAAA